ACAACUUCAGAAGGGAUGCAUAUAUUGAUUUUCGAUUUUUCAUUAUCAAAAUUUAAUUUAGAUAUUAAAGUAGUAGUUUCUAGGCUUUAGCUCUUUGAACCCAAGUAAGGCCCAAAAUCAAAUAAUUGAAAUGGCCAAAUUCGGGUUACUUUUAAUUACCCUCAACCCUCAUCCCCAAAUCUCGAAAGCGUCCGAACCCUAGAAUUUUCAAUUGAGGGUUCGUUCUUCCCACGAAGGCUUAAUCUUCUUUCUUUUCUGAACUCCAAUUCUCAAUUUCCCAAAACCCACAACUCUAAAAGAAGGAAACCCUAAAGAGGAAGAUGGAUGGUAUUGAACCCUACUCUUUUAAUCGCCAUCCGCAAUACCCUCGUUCAACCAGAACUCGCCAUGUAUACAGUUACGGACCAGACGAAGAGCUCGACGAUGAAGAAGAAAUGGAACUAGAUAACGAAGAUGUAGAUGACGAUAACGACGACGACCCAGAUGUUUAUUACCACCGCGUCAAAGAAAGCGAGCGUUUUGAAAGGUACCCAAAGCGUCAAAAGGUGAGAACAUCAGUCCCUAGCUUCCAAUAUGCACCUGACCAUAGAGAUAGCUUAAAAAAUGCCUAUGAUUGGACCCAACAGGAGAUUUAUGUUCUGUUAGAGGUUUGGGGGAAUAGGUUUUUGCAAUUAGGGCGGAGGAGUUUGAGGGGUGAAGAUUGGGUUGAUAUAGCUGAGAAAGUUAGUGAUGCUUUGAAAAGUGUGAAAAAUGAAGCUCAGUGUAGGCGUAUGAUUGAUGGGUUGAAGAGGAAGUUUAAGAAAGAGAAGUCGAAAGCUGAGAGAAUGGGGUUGAAUUCGAGUAAAUGGGUGUUCUUUAGGAAAAUGGAGAUGUUAAUGGGGUUGGGUUCUUCUUCAUUUAGGCAACAAGAAUCAUGGUUGGCUUGUGGAGUUGAUUCCGGGGAGUUUGUGUUUAUGAAUCCGCAAGUUUAUUUGGAUAGGUCUAAUGGUUUCGAUGAGAUGAGGGAUAGUCCCGCAGAGUCGGAGAUAGAUGAUGAUGAUGAUGGAGAAGAAGCCGAUGGUGGGUCAAUGAAAGUGGAUGUGAACGAUGAACAUUCGUUGAGGAUGUUGGCUGAAUCAGUGCAGAGGUUCAGUAAGAUAUACGAGAAGAUUGAGAGUAGUAAAAGGGAGCAUAUGAAGGAGUUGGAGAAGAUGAGGAUGGAUUUUCAGAAGGAGUUGGAAGUACAAAAGAAGCAGAUUUUGGAGAAAGCACAAGCAGAGAUUGCUAAAAUGAAGGAAGAGGAUGAUGACGACGAUGACGAUGAUGACGAGACUGAUGAUGAUGAUGAUGGUGACGACAAUGGCGAUUCGACGGAAAAUAUCAGCGAAUAGGUUUCUUGCAUUCGAAGCUUUAUAAUGAAUGAUUGCGUCAAUCAGAAUGGGCAACGAGAAGUACGUUCAAUGGAGGAUCUUGUGCUCUCUACAUGGACUCGUAUACUUUCAAUAGGUUCAAUGCCAUGGAGAAUCGUGAAUGGGAGUUACAACAGACUUGAUUUGCAGAUACUGGUUAAGUGCAUCCAAACCAUAAUCUCUUCCAAACCCGCUCAUCUUGUACCCGCCAUAGGGGCAAUCCAUAUCGAACACAGUGUAACAGUUGAUCCACACGACCCCAGCACGGACCGAUCUCGAAACGGUGUUUGCCACGUUCAAGUCCUUCGUUAUAAUCCCAGCUGCUAGGCCAUAAGCCGUGUUGUUUGCCCUCUUAAUCCCCUCUU